UCCGUAGGUGAACCUGCGGAGGGAUCAUUACCGAGUUUACAACUCCCAAACCCCUGUGAACAUACCUUAAUGUUGCCUCGGCGGAUCAGCCCGCGCCCCGUAAAACGGGACGGCCCGCCAGAGGACCCAAACUCUAAUGUUUCUUAUUGUAACUUCUGAGUAAAACAAACAAAUAAAUCAAAACUUUCAACAACGGAUCUCUUGGUUCUGGCAUCGAUGAAGAACGCAGCAAAAUGCGAUAAGUAAUGUGAAUUGCAGAAUUCAGUGAAUCAUCGAAUCUUUGAACGCACAUUGCGCCCGCUGGUAUUCCGGCGGGCAUGCCUGUUCGAGCGUCAUUUCAACCCUCAAGCCCCCGGGUUUGGUGUUGGGGAUCGGCUCUGCCUUACGGCGGUGCCGCCCCCGAAAUACAUUGGCGGUCUCGCUGCAGCCUCCAUUGCGUAGUAGCUAACACCUCGCAACUGGAACGCGGCGCGGCCAUGCCGUAAAACCCCAACUUCUGAAUGUGACCUCGGAUCAGGUA
rnacentral:rRNA from 1 species